CGAGUUUCAACCCCCCUGCUAUGUGCAGGGUCGCCAACCACCAGACCAGGCUGCCCAGAGCCACAUCCAGCCUGGCCUUGAAUGCCUGUUGAUUUUAUUGCUAGUAGGUGGGACGGAGGUUGCCUGCUAAAGGAUGUGACUUUUUUUUUUACAGACAAAUAUGAAGCUGAUCAUUAUUUUUUCAUCUCAUGUUGUCAUCCAACUUCUACAGCAAGAAAUCCAAACUACAGAAGUAUAGCUGAAAAGGCCAAAAACGCCAUCUACGAGAAUGCGAACUUCCAGGGAUCCUCCAAAGAAUUAGCCAGUGACACUGCCAAUCUGAAAGAUGAGCAUUGGAAUGGCCGUCUCUUCAGUAAAAGUAAUAGAACAGCUUUGGGUGGCUUAUGAGCACUUCAGCUAUGCAGGCCAGGUAUUGGUAUUUGAGGAAGGGCAACAUAGAUUUGCUGGUGAACAGUUAAAUGACAAGAUCACUUUCCUGCACAUGAUCUGCAGAUCUGCAGAUCAGUCUAUGAACAUGCUCAGUAUUGAAGGAAGAGCAGGGUGAUAACAGAAACAACCAGCCUGGGUUGGGGACAUGCCACUGACAUUGUCACCAAGUCCAGAGAGGUGCACAGCCGUUGUAUGAACACAGAGACGUGAUUUAUGCUAGAUUGCAUGAGAAUAUGAACACCUUCCA
ensembl:lncRNA